rnacentral:rRNA from 1 species
AUGAACGCUGGCGGCGUGCCUAAUACCUGCAAGUCGGGCGAACGGACGAGAAGCUUGCUUCUCUGAUGUUAGCGGCGGACGGGGGAGUAACACGUGGAUAACCUACCUAUAAGGCUGGGAUAACUUCGGGAAACCGGAGCUAAUACCGGAAAAUAUUUUGAACCGCAUGGUUCAAAAGUGAAAGAAGGUCUUGCUGUCACUUAUAGAUGGAUCCGCGCUGCAUUAGCUAGUUGGUAAGGUAACGGCUUACCAAGGCAACGAUGCAUAGCCGACCUGAGAGGGUGAUCGGCCACACUGGAACUGAGACACGGUCCAGACUCCUACGGGAGGCAGCAGUAGGGAAUCUUCCGCAAUGGGCGAAAGCCUGACGGAGCAACGCCGCGUGAGUGAUGAAGGUCUUCGGAUCGUAAAACUCUGUUAUUAGGGAAGAACAUAUGUGUAAGUAACUGUGCACAUCUUGACGGUACCUAAUCAGAAAGCCACGGCUAACUACGUG